UACGUAGGUGGCUAGCGUUGUCCGGAUUUACUGGGCGUAAAGAGCGCGCAGGCGGUCGUUCAAGUCGAGUGUGAAAGCCCCCGGCUCAACUGGGGAGGGUCACUCGAUACUGAUCGACUCGAAGGCAGGAGAGGGAAGCGGAAUUCCCGGUGUAGUGGUGAAAUGCGUAGAGAUCGGAAAGAACACCAACGGCGAAAGCACUCUGCUGGGCCGACACUGACACUGAGAGACGAAAGCUAGGGGAGCGAAUGGG
rnacentral:rRNA from 1 species